UACGGAGGGUGCAAGCGUUGUCCGGAGUUAUUGGGCGUAAAGAGCUCGUAGGCGGUCUGUCGCGUCUGCUGUGAAAACUCAGGGCUUAACCCUGAGCUUGCAGUGGGUACGGGCAGACUAGAGUGCGGUAGGGGAGACUGGAAUUCCUGGUGUAGCGGUGAAAUGCGCAGAUAUCAGGAGGAACACCGGUGGCGAAGGCGGGUCUCUGGGCCGUAACUGACGCUGAGGAGCGAAAGCAUGGGGAGCGAACAGG
rnacentral:rRNA from 1 species